rnacentral:rRNA from 1 species
AUUGAACGCUGGCGGCAUGCCUUACACAUGCAAGUCGAACGGCAGCACGGGUGCUUGCACCUGGUGGCGAGUGGCGAACGGGUGAGUAAUCCAUCGGAACAUGUCCUGUAGUGGGGGAUAGCCCGGCGAAAGCCGGAUUAAUACCGCAUACGAUCUACGGAUGAAAGCGGGGGCCCUUCGGGCCUCGCGCUAUAGGGUUGGCCGAUGGCUGAUUAGCUAGUUGGUGGGGUAAAGGCCUACCAAGGCGACGAUCAGUAGCUGGUCUGAGAGGACGACCAGCCACACUGGGACUGAGACACGGCCCAGACUCCUACGGGAGGCAGCAGUGGGGAAUUUUGGACAAUGGGCGAAAGCCUGAUCCAGCAAUGCCGCGUGUGUGAAGAAGGCCUUCGGGUUGUAAAGCACUUUUGUCCGGAAAGAAAUCCUUGGCCCUAAUACGGUCGGGGGAUGACGGUACCGGAAGAAUAAGCACCGGCUAACUACGUG